rnacentral:misc_RNA from 1 species
AAGUCGUAACAAGGUUUCCGUAGGUGAACCUGCGGAAGGAUCAUUAACACGUAUCCAACGUUAAACAACCCUGUGAACCUUCAUUCCUGCUCUCCUCGAGCCCUAACAAAAGCAAUUCUUGGAACAAUUUAUUGAUUCGAGGACCUCUUUUGUUAGCCCUCGGGGAUUCGAUGCGGUCGUCGCAACUUAGGCUUGGCUUCUGUGGGGCAGUAAGUGGGUGAAAGUGCCACUGAUUGCUUAAGCGGAUAACCGAUUAAAAACCGGAUCACCGAGUGCCUACACGGCCGGUGAACAAGUCUCUGGGCGCAAGCCCCCAAAUUAACUACCUCUAAGCUUUAGUGGCCGCCUAGUGCUGUCACUGUCGUGAAAGCUGAACAACUGUUAACAAUGGAUAUCUUGGUUCUC